UGGUAAUGCCGGAUGCUCCGGUUGGAUGCAUGUCCUUCCGGGAAAGGUUCCAUCGGUAUGGGAUGGGGUCGCGUCCUAUCAGCUUGAUGGCGGGGUAACGGCCCACCAUGGCUUCGACGGGUAGCCGGCCUGAGAGGGCGACCGGCCACAUUGGGACUGAGAUACGGCCCAGACUCCUACGGGAGGCAGCAGUGGGGAAUAUUGCACAAUGGGCGCAAGCCUGAUGCAGCGACGCCGCGUGCGGGAUGGAGGCCUUCGGGUUGUAAACCGCUUUUGAUCGGGAGCAAGCCCUUCGGGGUGAGUGUACCUUUCGAAUAAGCACCGGCUAACUACGUGCCAGCAGCCGCGGUAAUACGUAGGGUGCAAGCGUUAUCCGGAAUUAUUGGGCGUAAAGGGCUCGUAGGCGGUUCGUCGCGUCCGGUGUGAAAGCCCAUCGCUUAACGGUGGGUCUGCGCCGGGUACGGGCGGGCUGGAGUGCGGUAGGGGAGACUGGAAUUCCCGGUGUAACGGUGGAAUGUGUAGAUA
rnacentral:rRNA from 1 species